rnacentral:lncRNA from 10 species
UGUCUUUUAAGGUCCUCAAAGAAGUAAAUGUUGAGAAUCACCCAGGUUUUUUAAAAAGUCUGCUUUUAAGACAAUUAUUUCUUUAUGGUAGAGAGAAAUGUAGGGAGAGAGAGAGAGACAGAGAAAGAGAGAGAAAGUCCUGACACUGAAAAAUAGCAUUCUUUAUUUCAUAAAGGCAUCAAAUUUUGAUUUUGUAGCCCAUAGGUAUGUAAGGAAAUGGAUAUAAAAUAACAAUACUUUUAUGAUCUGAGGGGCUCAAUAUAGUUAUGUAUUACUUACUAUUUUUAGUAUGUAUACAUUCAAAAAUGUCUGUACUUUGGUGAUCAAGACACACAUACUAUUUCCAAGUUUGAUCUAUUCAGCGCAAACUGGGAUUUUAAAUGCUAUCUGUAUCUUAAGAUAUAAAAUUAUUACAAGGUAGAAAGUCAUAAAUAAAAGUUCACUUCCAAAAAUAUAUUACUAAUCUGUUUGUCAUGGUUGUGUUCUUCAGCCACAUGAUAAAGUAAUUCCCAAUCUACUUGAUUCAAAUUUGGUUUAUCAAAUGCCCUUCUAGAAAAAUGCAUUUUCAUAACAGGUUGUCAAUUAAUGGAAUUCACCAGUAAUACAUAUUUGAGAACUUUCAAGUUAAAAAAACACUUUUCAAUUUUUUCCCUAGUAAAUUAUAUCAGAAUGAAUCACUAUGCACCAGAAGUUUCUUCUAAAGCCUGACUGAAGUCAUAAAUUAGUCUGAAAGUUAUACUGUGAGAAAUUUACCCACAUUUCUACUAAACAAAAGCUAAUUUUCUUACAGCUUGUGAAAUAUAGAACAUGACAUACCCUUCCUUCCUAGUAAAAGAUAUCUGGAAUAGACUAGAGCAAGGAAGAACUGGCUUCCAAUUUUAGCCCUGCCACUGACUAGCCUUGUGACCCUGAGAACAUUUCCAAAUUCCUGACUUGUUAUCUGUAUGCCUAACACCUACUAUAUAGUAAUUGUGAGGAUCAUACGUAAAGUGUCUUUAGCCAACUAGGUACUCAGUAAAUGGUAGACAGUAUUGCUAUCAUUUCUGUGAAAGGUGUGACACCCUGCCUUUCAUAUGAGUGACUGUCAUGCACAGGCCACUGGAUGUUUCUCAGUUCAAAGAGUUAAUAGAAGGCAAGUCCCAACUAGAAAUCUUUUCAUACUUUAUCAUUUCUUUCUCAUCUUAGAUGCUUCCUUACCCUACCCUCUUUUAUCUCAAAAUAACUCAUUUCUUAAGCAGAAGUUUAAUUAAAUUUAGCAGCUCUACUUAAAUUGAAGUGUUUCUAUUUCUCCCAAACACACACACACACGCACAGAGAGAGAGAGAGAGAGAGAGAGAGAGAGAGAGAACUUAAAAUCAGCAGACUAUUUAUUACAUAGUCCAGAUUGUCUACUCUAG